rnacentral:rRNA from 1 species
UACGGAAGGCAGCAGUGGGGAAUAUUGCACAAUGGGCGCAAGCCUGAUGCAGCCAUGCCGCGUGUAUGAAGAAGGCCUUCGGGUUGUAAAGUACUUUCAGUCGUGAGGAAGGUGUUAAGGUUAAUAACCUUAGCAAUUGACGUUAGCGACAGAAGAAGCACCGGCUAACUCCGUGCCAGCAGCCGCGGUAAUACGGAGGGUGCGAGCGUUAAUCGGAAUUACUGGGCGUAAAGGGCACGCAGGCGGUUAAUUAAGUUGGAUGUGAAAUCCCCGGGCUUAACCUGGGAAUGGCAUUCAAGACUGGUUAGCUAGAGUCUUGUAGAGGGGGUAGAAUUCCAUGUGUAGCGGUGAAAUGCGUAGAGAUGUGGAGGAAUACCGGUGGCGAAGGCGGCCCCUGGACAAAAGAUGACGCUCAUGUGCGAAAGCGUGGGGAGCAAAACAGGGAAUUAGAUAACC